AGUCCUGUUAAACGGGGGGGAAACAACAAAAGGGUCCUCAGGGCCCUGCCCAACAAUACGCCACAUUCUGUCUAGUAAAGCCACACAGCCAGAAAACGCCAGGUGACUGGCAGGCAGAUACUUCCGGAAGAAGUCGGCCCUCCGAACCCGGAAGUGAAGCGAUAAGACGCACGGUGUUCUGGGAGGAGUUACGCAGGCAGGGUUGUGGUUGCUGGCUGUUACCAGGACAACCGGAGGCGAUUGACCGUUAUCUGCGGUUUGGAGCCGUUAGCGGGAGAGGCAGAGAUAUUCAGAGGUCUUUUAGGAUGCGCUAAAGGGUCGUGAGGGCUCUCUUAAAAUUUUCUUCACAAGCGGUUAUCCAGUCGUGCCCCGCGGCCCUGCUGCUGGCCCCGGGGAUCUGAGUCGUACCCUCUUGUUUUUCUCUGAGUCAGUCUUAAGGUGAAAUGAAGUGUGGCCCAGUGGCUCCUCACUGUCGCUUCUCUAGUUUUCUGCCUCCUUUUAGAAAAUUGAAUUGAAAAGACAGGAUGAAGUGGACACAGCAUGUGAAGACAAUUCUUUCAAGAAGUUUGGCUGUCAAGGAAAACAGAGAAUGUGCUAAAGAACAUACAGACACAGAGCAGACAGGCCACCUUUGCAACCACAUGGAGGUUUGUCUGAUAUUGAAGCUAAAGAAGCUAAGCUGGAAGACAGAGAGACCAAGUCCUGAUGACAUUGUUUGAACCCAGAGAUCCAGACAUGCCUGAAAACUAGUUUUACCACUGGACUUAUCCGUUGAAUGAGCCAAUAAACUCUCUUUUAUACUUAACCUUGGGUUUUACCUGGAUUUUUGUCAUUGACAGCUCAAAAUAUUCUAAUAUAGAAGUAUACAUCAUUAAAUCAACAUUUCUUUUUUUCUCUGUCUUAUUUUAAAUGUAACUCUAUAAGGUACUCUAAAAGUAUUCUACAGUCUCACUAAGUUAAUCUGCAAAUUUGGUAAAAUUCCAAUAUUAAUCCCAAAAGUAUUUUAAGAGCUUGUUUUUGUUGUUUGCUUGUUUGGGACUAAACAGAAUUACUCCAAAAUUCAUUGAGAGAAAAAAAAACAUGAAAAAAAAAACAAGAAAAUAGAAUUCAUAAAAGGAAAUUGUAUUAUAUAACAAAGCAUAAAACAAGAAUAAUAAACAUAGAGUGGUAAUGGAAUAAAUAAACAGUCAUGGAACAGAAUUCAAAGCCUGAAUAUAUCUAAGAGCACUUACCAAAUUUAAUAUGUGGUACAUCAAGAAAAGAUUAAUCCAGUAAAGUAUAUAAGUACAUUGAGCUAGAUUUAGAGGAGAAAGAUAAUUAGAUCGUUACCUUAUUCCCAGAAUAAAUUUCAAAUGGAUUUGUGACUUAAGUGUAAAAAUUGAAGCCAGAUUCUCAAUAUACAUUGAUUGGCAUAUAAUUGGCACAGUCUUUAGCAAUAUCAAUUAAAUGUUAAAUAUUAAUAACAACACAGCCUUUCAAUUCUAGAAAUAUAUCCUACAGAAACAAAAUAUAUGUAUAAAUAUAGAUAAUGCAGUAUUGGAAUAUCAAAAGUAGUACACAUAUGAAAUAGGAUAUGGAAUACCUAUAUCAUGAAUUCACGGGGUGGCAACAUCGCAACAAGGAGGUGAAAAUUGAUUCUUGAGGGAAAUUUUUUUUUCUAAAGCAUAGAUAUGUGUGUAAAGCACAUAAACAAAUAUACAGUAUAUAUGUGGUAUUGAAACUUCAUGGGAGAGUAAUAAUUAAGAAAAAAAUGUCUACACUGGGUGCAGUGGCUCAUGCCUGUUAUCCCAACACUUCGAAAGGCCAAGGUGGGUGGAUCAUGAGGUCAGGAGUUCAAGACCAGCCUGGCCAAGAUGGUGAACCCGCAACUGUACUAAAAAUACAAAAAUUAGCCGGGCAUGGUGGCAGGCGCUUGUAAUCCCAGCUACUCAGGAGGCUGAGGCAGGAGAAUCGCUUGAACCUGGGAGGUAGAGGUUGCAGUGAUCCAAAAUCACGCAACUGCACUCCAGCCUGGGUGACAAAGUAAGACUCCAUCUCAAAAAAGAAAAAAGAAAAAAGUCUAAAAGGCUGAGAAAAACUGUGGUAUACAAUUCAAUACCAUGUUAAAAAGAAUGAGGUAGACUUGUAUGUUGACAAAAGAGGAUGUCCCAAGAUGCAUUGCUUUUAAAAAACAAGUUGUAAAAUAAUAUGCAUAAUAUGGUUCCUUUUUUAAUG
rnacentral:lncRNA from 1 species